rnacentral:rRNA from 1 species
UACGUAGGGGGCUAGCGUUGUCCGGAAUCACUGGGCGUAAAGGGCGCGUAGGCGGCCUGGUAAGUAGGGGGUGAAAUCCUGCGGCUUAACCGCAGGGCUGCCUUCUAAACUGUCAGGCUCGAGCACGGUAGAGGCAGAUGGAAUUCCCGGUGUAGCGGUGGAAUGCGUAGAGAUCGGGAAGAACAUCAGUGGCGAAGGCGGUCUGCUGGGCCGUUGCUGACGCUGAGGCGCGACAGCGUGGGGAGCAAACAGG